UGGCUGGUUUGACACCUGGCACCCUCUACAGGCUGCAGGCUGUCACUGUCAGUGGGAGGCUACAGUCUAAACCCAUCAGUCUGGAGGCACGCACAGCCCCGGAGCCUGUGUCUGAGAUAACUGUUUCAAAUGGCGGCAAGUCUGAUGCUCUGCAGGUGUCGUGGCGUCCUGUGUCAGGAGUCGUGGACAGCUACCUGGUCUGCCUUGAGGAGAGGAAGGGAAUUUCUAAACAUAAAUUUGUUGUGUCCCACUCCUCACCACCUGAGUGCUCAUUCAGGUCGCUGGAGGCUGGCCGGCUUUACUCGGUGGUCAUAAAAACAAGGAGUGGCGACCUGGAGACUUCCGCCACCGUCCUAGCUCGAACACAACCAGCCACUGUGCAAAAUCCAAUAGCUGUUCACUCUGGAAGAGACAACUUCCUCAAGGUGUACUGGCGCCAAGCGGCUGGGGUUCUCGACCGCUACGUGGUUCUGAUCCGUUACAAUCACACCGUGCUGCAGAAUAAGAGU